UACGAAGGGGGCUAGCGUUGCUCGGAAUCACUGGGCGUAAAGCGCACGUAGGCGUAUUGCUAAGUCAGGGGUGAAAUCCUGGAGCUCAACUCCAGAACUGCCUUUGAUACUGGCGACCUUGAGUCCGGGAGAGGUGAGUGGAACUGCGAGUGUAGAGGUGAAAUUCGUAGAUAUUCGCAAGAACACCAGUGGCGAAGGCGGCUCACUGGCCCGGUACUGACGCUGAGGUGCGAAAGCGUGGGGAGCAAACAGG
rnacentral:rRNA from 1 species